AACACUUUGUAUAGUAUAAAGACUGGGUCAGGGAAAGGAGAGACAGUCAGACUUCGUGAACUGACACAAUCUGUUGUUUGUCAGGGAUAGGAAGAUCUAGACCCAGAGCUCUGUAUGCUUUAUCCAUUUACUGCUAAAUAAAACGGAUGGUUUUGAGACCGAACAUCUUCUCCUACUGCUUUAUCAACAAACACGCAGGACUAGGCUCUCACAUAGAUGAAGAUGAGUUGGUAGAGUGAGCUGCAGUCCAACAGUCUCAUAAAGAGCUUUUUUUGCAGUAGGGGACUUGCAUGGAGUCACAGGUAGCGGAGGAAAUUCUUCUGCCAUAGUGACCGUUACUGGUUCUACGGAGCGGGCGUAAUCAUGGCAUGAGGAUAUAAGCAUGUUACCCGAGUGGACCGCAGAAAUUGAAGUGGACUGUCAAAUGAGACGAUAUGGAUCCAGUGGUCAUAAUGUCGUCAGGACUCGUAUCCAUUGCCAAUGAAUCCUUAAUGAGACCACACUUGGCACCUUCUUGGCCAAACCUCUUUUCCCUAUCUAAUCAAGCAGAUAUGGAUGGAUGUAGCGUGACGUCUCCAUGACCAGAGGGAUGUAUGGUGCUUCUGAAGCUGCUGCUGCU